GCCUGCUUUGGGAGCAGGAUGUCAGAGGUUCGAAUCCUUUCAUCGAGACCA
rnacentral:tRNA from 1 species